rnacentral:tRNA from 1 species
GGGGCACUAGCUCAUCUGGUAGAGCGCUUCCAUGGCAUGGAAGAGGUGAGCAGUUCAAGUCUGCUGUGCUCCACCA